GUCCACGCCCUAAACGAUGAAUACUCGAUGUUGGCGAUAUACAGUCAGCGUCUAAGGGAAACCGUUAAGUAUUCCACCUGGGGAGUACGUCCGCAAGGAUGAAACUCAAAGAAAUUGGCGGGGUCGCACAAGCGGUGGAUUAUGUGGUUUAAUUCGAUGAUACGCGAGGAACCUUACCAGGGCUAGAAUGUAAUUGGAAUAUAGAGGAAACUUUAUAGCUAGCAAUAGCCGGUUACAAGGUGCUGCAUGGUUGUCGU
rnacentral:rRNA from 1 species